AUACGUAGGUGGCAAGCGUUGUCCGGAUUUAUUGGGCGUAAAGCGAGCGCAGGCGGUUCUUUAAGUCUGAUGUGAAAGCCCCCGGCUCAACCGGGGAGGGUCAUUGGAAACUGGAGAACUUGAGUGCAGAAGAGGAGAGUGGAAUUCCAUGUGUAGCGGUGAAAUGCGUAGAUAUAUGGAGGAACACCAGUGGCGAGGGCGACUCUCUGGUCUGUAACUGACGCUGAGGCUCGAAAGCGUGGGGAGCAAACAGGAUUAGAUACCCUGGUAGUCCACGCUGUAAACGAUGAGUGCUAAGUGUUGGAGGGUUUCCGCCCUUCAGUGCUGCAGCUAACGCAUUAAGCACUCCGCCUGGGGAGUACGACCGCAAGGUUGAA
rnacentral:rRNA from 1 species